AUGAACGCUGGCGGCGUGCCUAAUACAUGCAAGUCGAGCGAACGGACGAGAAGCUUGCUUCUCUGAUGUUAGCGGCGGACGGGUGAGUAACACGUGGAUAACCUACCUAUAAGACUGGGAUAACUUCGGGAAACCGUAGCUAAUACCGGAUAAUAUUUUGAACCGCAUGGUUCAAAAGUGAAAGACGGUCUUGCUGUCACUUAUAGAUGGAUCCGCGCUGCAUUAGCUAGUUGGUAAGGUAACGGCUUACCAAGGCAACGAUGCAUAGCCGACCUGAGAGGGUGAUCGGCCACACUGGAACUGAGACACGGUCCAGACUCCUACGGGAGGCAGCAGUAGGGAAUCUUCCGCAAUGGGCAAAAGCCUGACGGGGCAACGCCGCGUGAGUGAUGAUGGUCUUCGGAUCGUAAAACUCUGUUAUUAGGGAAGAACAUAUGUGUAAGUAACUGUGCACAUCUUGACGGUACCUAAUCAGAAAGCCACGGCUAACUACGUG
rnacentral:rRNA from 1 species